UACGUAGGGUGCGAGCGUUAAUCGGAAUUACUGGGCGUAAAGUGUGCGCAGGCGGCUUCGCAAGUCGAGUGUGAAAUCCCCGAGCUUAACUUGGGAAUUGCGCUCGAAACUACGGAGCUGGAGUGUGGCAGAGGAAGGUGGAAUUCCACGUGUAGCGGUGAAAUGCGUAGAGAUCCGGAGGAACACCAGUGGCGAAGGCGGCUCGCUGGGCUCUACCUGACGCUGAGGCGCGAAAGCGUGGGGAGCGAACCGG
rnacentral:rRNA from 1 species